GAGGGGACAUGGGCGGUUCGCUGCCCGUGACGUCGCGAGAAGUCCACUGAACCUUAUCAUUUAGAGGAAGGAGAAGUCGUAACAAGGUUUCCGUAGGUGAACCUGCGGAAGGAUCAUUGUCGAAACCUGCCCAGCAGAAAGACCCGUGAACCUGUUUGUACCUCGCGAUUGGUGGGGGGUGCAGCAUGCACCCUUUGCUCAUCAUGCUAAGUGCGUGCCGCUCUGCGUCACGCCCUCGGCCCUGAACGAACCCCGGCGCGGAGAGCGUCAAGGAAAGACAAUGAAACGGGGGCUACCAAGUCACUAGAAUCGGUGUACAUCUUGGUAGUCGCAUCGUGGUUGGUUGAAUAACGACUCUCGGCAACGGAUAUCUCGGCUCUCGCAUCGAUGAAGAACGUAGCGAAAUGCGAUACUUGGUGUGAAUUGCAGAAUCCCGUGAACCAUCGAGUCUUUGAACGCAAGUUGCGCCCGAAGCCAUCCGGUCGAGGGCACGUCUGCCUGGGCGUCACACACCGUAGCCCCCCUAACCCCUUGUCACUCGUUGUGUGGUGCAUGUGGACCAGAAGGGGCGGAUAUUGGCCUCCCGUGCGAUGUGGACUUCGUGGUUGGCCUAAACUCAAGUCCCUUGUCACGUGCAUCGUGGCAAAAGGUGGUUGUCGAUCAGUCGGUGCCCCGUCACUUUGAUGCCGGACAUGUAAAGGGACUCCCAGCGACCCCAACGCAUCGAUUGUAGGUGCUUCGAAAGCGACCCCAGGUCAGGCGGGGCUACCCGCUGAGUUUAAGCAUAUCAAUAAGCGGAGGAAAAGAAACUUACAAGGA
rnacentral:sRNA from 1 species